UUGAGUUAGCAUUUGGUUGCUUGUUUUCAGUUUUAAGUUUUCUUUGAUGAUAGAAUCCUUGUCCUUAAUUAAUUUAUCGUACUCAUGAGUGUGAGAUAGAUUAGUUAGUUUUAAUUAUUUAUUUUUAAUAUUUAUUGUCUUAUAUUCAUCCAUUAGUUCAUUAAAGGCAUCAUAUAAUUUAUCAAAGGUAAAAUCUAAAUGUGUUUCAGAUAUUACCUCAUUAUCAUUUGCCAUGAAGCAAAAAUUUGCUUUUUCCUCUUGUUCCUCAUCCGAUGAUGAUGAAGAUUGAUCGGAGUCUGUCAAGGUGGAGACAAGAGCUU
rnacentral:lncRNA from 1 species